rnacentral:tRNA from 6 species
UCGUGAGGGUUCAAGUCCCUCUAUCCCCAAGAAAAAGUUCGAUCUACUC